ACGGAAGUGUUUACAAGAUCUCCUAAUAUUCGGACCAUCGUAAGGGACUUAGCUGUAGAGUGUAGAGGCGUAAGAGAGUGUAACCGCAAGACCUAUCAGUCGAGCAGGAACGAAAGUGGGCCUCAGUA
rnacentral:rRNA from 1 species